GACAGAGGAUGCAAGCGUUAUCCGGAAUGAUUGGGCGUAAAGCGUCUGUAGGUGGCUUUUUAAGUCUGCCGUCAAAUCCCAGGGCUUAACCCUGGACAGGCGGUGGAAACUACCAAGCUGGAGUACGGUAGGGGCAGAGGGAAUUUCCGGUGGAGCGGUGAAGUGCGGCAGAUAUCAGGAGGAACACCGAUGGCGAAGGCAGCUCGCUGGGACGGUACUGACGCUGAGGCGCGAAAGCGUGGGGAGCAAACAGG
rnacentral:rRNA from 1 species